UCCAGGCCUAGGUCACACAUAGUGG
rnacentral:piRNA from 1 species